UUAGCCAGCAGAUAGCUCUCUGCAACUCUCACAUGGUUGCCCUCUGAAGAUAAGCGGGGCUGUGCCAGGUCAGUACCUGAAUAGGAGACCGCAUGGGAAAGCUAGGUUGCUGCCAGAA
ensembl:rRNA 5S_rRNA 5S ribosomal RNA